rnacentral:rRNA from 1 species
CCUACGGGUGGCAGCAGUGAGGAAUAUUGGUCAAUGGACGAGAGUCUGAACCAGCCAAGCAGCGUGAAGGAUGAAGGUACUAAGGGUUGUAAACCUCUUUUAUAAGGGAAUAAAAAAGGGUAUGCAUACCCUCUUGUAUGUACCAUAUGAAUAAGCAUCGGCUAACUCCGUGCCAGCAGCCGCGGUAAUACGGAGGAUCCGAGCGUUAUCCGGAUUUAUUGGGUUUAAAGGGAGCGUAGGUGGAUUGUUAAGUCAGUUGUGAAAGGUUGCGGCUCAACCGUAAAAUUGCAGUUGAAACUGGCAGUCUUGAGUACAGUAGAGGUGGGCGGAAUGCGUGGUGUAGCGGUGAAAUGCUUAGAUAUCACGAAGAACUCCGAUUGCGAAGGCAGCUCACUGGACUGCAACUGACACUGAUGCUCGAAAGUGUGGGUAUCGAACAGGAUUAGAUACCCCAGUAGUC